rnacentral:rRNA from 1 species
UACAGAGGUCCCAAGCGUUGUUCGGAUUCACUGGGCGUAAAGGGUGCGUAGGUGGCGAGGUAAGUCGGAUGUGAAAGCUCGGAGCUCAACUCCGAAACUGCACUCGAUACUGCUUUGCUUGAGGACUGGAGAGGAGAUUGGAAUUCACGGUGUAGCAGUGAAAUGCGUAGAUAUCGUGAGGAAGACCAGUGGCGAAGGCGGAUCUCUGGACAGUUCCUGACGCUGAGGCGCGAAGGCCAGGGGAGCAAACGGG